rnacentral:lncRNA from 1 species
CAGGAGGCUGCGCAUUGGCUGCGGGGAAAAUCAAUUAUCAAAUAAUCGAUCAGCAGGGAGCUUCGAUCUGCCGGGAAUGUAAACUGCCAGUACCGAUUCCCGCCCUGACGGUGGCCAAAAGGCUGACUCCCUCAAAGCGACCGGCCUGAGCUCCCAUCCCAUGGUCCCCACCCCCAUCCCACCCUGCCAGCUGUGGAGCAAACCCUCGCCCCAGAGGGGAGAUAGUUGGUGGGAAGAGUUUUGAGAAAGAUUAGGGGGCCCCCUUCACUGGGAGUUUGUUUGGAAAAGGUUGAGAGCUCUCAAAUGUAUUGAAGCCAACUCUUAGGCGCCAAGUAAGAGAAUUUGCAUCCGUCCGCGAAGUAGGACUCAAGUUUCUUCUGAGUGGGCUUCUGAGGAGCAGGGGACCUGGGCGAUCUUCAAAACGUAGAGCUGCAGUAUUGCUCCACCGAGCGCUGGUAGCCUCCCUAGGCGACACCUAUGGCUUCUUCUAGCGCUCCGCAGGAGCUAGCGCCGGGGUGGUUCACCCCAGCCGUGGAGCCUUCGUGGAAAGCUGAGCAGAUGAGCCUUCCCAGCCUACUGCACACGUCCCCGCCCCCAACCUGAACUUGCUCCUUCUGUGCCUGAAGGGUCGGCACACAUUCACCCAAAACCUUCAGAUGAGCUUUGAGUUGAAUGAGCUCAACUGUUACAAAAGAAAAAUCUCCAGAGUCCCUUAGUACUUACCUGUCUCUUCUUUCUUAAUUUCUAGUUUCUGUCUUCAAUACUCAAAUUUUAAGAUAUUUUACUUUUAUCCACCACGUACUUGUAUACUGUUUUCUAACACAGUUACCCUGAUACAUCUCUUGGGAAGUUAAGGCAGGCCUGAGAGUCAAAGCCAAGGGGGGCUUUGGGGAAGCCAGGUGAAUUACCAGAGCCAACGCCUAACUCUGAGCCCGCCCCCCCCCUUCCCCUCGCAGUUUGAACUUGAAAGCAGCUUUUCAGGCCAAGAUGGAACCUUCUGAACUCAGGAAAGCGAUUUUUAAUUUUUGCGAAGCCGAGCUGGCUAGGCCAGGCAGCGCACUUCUUUUCCGAUUAUGGGGAGGGCUGCGCUGGGCCGUCAGCAGUGAGCUCUUCCCCAGCUCCUGAGGGCUGUGGCCCACACCUGAGCGCCUUCCGACAGCUACUCCCGGGGGUGGGAGCGCUGUCUCCCCAGCAGGCCUGCCAGGCAUCAGCGCGGCUUGGGCGGGGGGGGCGGGAGGGGGUCCAACCAGACACCAACACAGGCUCCUCUACGUUUAUGGUCCUUAAAUGAACUGCGAGGAAGGUUAUAAGUGAAAGAAGGAAGGUUCAGAUACAUUGAAGAGCCUGGGGUGACAUUGACUCUAAGCUUACAGCAUGGGGAGCUCAGGAUGGUUUCAUUUCACUUCUGCAGAAAAGUCCCUACAACAAAAGCUAACAAGCAGAAAAUUCUUCCAGGAACGGAUCACAAGUGAGCACAGCUCUGUCCUGUAUUCUAAGCUAGUAAUGGAGGUACAGUACGGGAGCUGAAGAGGUCUAGCAGACGUGCUCCAGUCAUCAACUGCAAACAUUUACCUUUGAAGCAACUGGAUGAGCCAGAUUGGUUAUGGUUUGCAUCCAUGUUCGACUUGAUAAAGGGGCAUAAUUUGUGAAAAGCCUUCAGGCAAAAAUCGUACUGAUUAUUCAAAACUAAAUAUUUUAACAUUUCAUUGAGUUAGCUAAUGAAUAAGAAAAACAUCGAAGGCUUCCUGCAGCUCAGAAAGAAUUCUAGUGGCGUGGAAAGCACAAGGAGCAAAGAACAAGAAACUGAAGGACUCCUGCUGAGCAGUUAUUCGCUUGUGAAUAUCUGAAAAUGUAUUCUUCUGUGCGUUAUUUAAAAAUGAAAAAUAAACAUCAUCUUUCCUUGUCUUUUGUUUUUAAAUGAACGUCUGAUAGCUUGCUAAAAAAUUUUUUUCUGAGUAAUUUAUGCGAGAAAGGGCCAAUUCGAAAACGUGUAACUAAUGGGAGAAGUCCACGUAUAAGCCGCAAACAAAUCGGUUUGAAGCCGAGCCCACAGCCCUGCGAGGCGCCACUGCUUCCAAGCUCAGGGAGGAUAACUUCAUCUACCGGCAGUU